GAUGAACGCUAGCAGGAGGCUUAACACAUGCAAGUCGUGGGGCAGCACGGGGUAGCAAUACUCUGGUGGCGACCGGCGCACGGGUGAGUAACGCGUAUGCAACCUGCCCUGUACAGGGGGAUAGCCCGGAGAAAUUCGGAUUAAUACCCCAUAAAGAUAUAGAGAGGCAUCUUUUUAUAUUUAAAGCUUCGGCGGUACGGGAUGGGCAUGCGUGACAUUAGCUAGUUGGUAGGGUAACGGCCUACCAAGGCUUCGAUGUCUAGGGGUCCUGAGAGGGUGAUCCCCCACACUGGUACUGAGACACGGACCAGACUCCUACGGGAGGCAGCAGUGAGGAAUAUUGGUCAAUGGGCGGAAGCCUGAACCAGCAUCCCGCGUGAAGGAAGAAGGCGCUAUGCGUUGUAAACUUCUUUUCCAGGGGAAUAAAAUUUCGUACGUGUACGGAACUGAAGGUACCUUGGGAAUAAGCAUCGGCUAACUCCGUGCCAGCAGCCGCAGUAA
rnacentral:rRNA from 1 species